rnacentral:rRNA from 1 species
CGAACGCUGGCGGCGUGCCUAAUACAUGCAAGUCGAACGAGAGCGACCGGUGCUUGCACUGGUCAAUCUAGUGGCGAACGGGUGAGUAACACGUGGGUAACCUGCCCAUCAGAGGGGGAUAACAUCCGGAAACGGAUGCUAAAACCGCAUAGGUCUUCGAGCCGCAUGGCUUGAAGAGGAAAAGAGGCGCAAGCUUCUGCUGAUGGAUGGACCCGCGGUGCAUUAGCUAGUUGGUGAGGUAACGGCUCACCAAGGCCGUGAUGCAUAGCCGACCUGAGAGGGUGAUCGGCCACAUUGGGACUGAGACACGGCCCAAACUCCUACGGGAGGCAGCAGUAGGGAAUCUUCCGCAAUGGACGCAAGUCUGACGGAGCAACGCCGCGUGAGUGAAGAAGGUUUUCGGAUCGUAAAACUCUGUUGUUAGAGAAGAACAAGUGCUAGAGUAACUGUUAGCGCCUUGACGGUAUCUAACCAGAAAGCCACGGCUAACUACGUG